UGAAAUAUAAGCCUACUCCUAAGAU
rnacentral:piRNA from 1 species